rnacentral:rRNA from 1 species
UACGUAGGUGGCAAGCGUUGUCCGGAUUUACUGGGCGUAAAGAGCGCGCAGGCGGUCGUGCAAGUCGCGUGUGAAAGCCCCCGGCUCAACUGGGGAGGGUCACGCGAUACUGCUCGACUCGAAGGCAGGAGAGGGAAGUGGAAUUCCCGGUGUAGUGGUGAAAUGCGUAGAUAUCGGGAGGAACACCAGUGGCGAAGGCGACUUCCUGGCCUGUUUCUUGACGCUGAGGCGCGAAAGCUAGGGGAGCAAACGGG